ensembl:lncRNA
CGUCAGGGGCACGCCCCGCUUCCCGUUUGCCUCACUUCCUGUUUGCCUCACUUCCUGUUUACCAUUGCUGACAGGGUCACUGUUGGGUGUCCAUAGCCAGAGAGCUGAGCCGCUCGCUGGCUGCUGUAUGUCCAGUUCGAGCCGUGAGCCGCUCGUGAGCCGUUACUGAAGCUGUGGGCCUCCGGUGGCGGGGACUGGUGUCUUCGGGUGGUGGGAACCCCUUCCUGUGUGGUGUGCUGCUCAUCCCCUGGUUGUUUUAUUUAUUUCUUCACUCAGGGUGAGUAAUCGUACCUGAUCACAGGAUUCCUGCUUGGCGAUAGCUCCUAGCCCGGCUAAACGGAAGUGAUGUUACCUUGGCGCUGAGAGGAAGUGCAGACAACGCAGUUUGCAAAUACACGAACGUGACACUUUCAGCGGAUCAGAGUAGCUGGAUUUCUCAAUGUUUGGACUCUGUAGCGGGAUAUGAAGAAGUCAGUAUCUCAGUUGGUCAGAGAAGAAGCUGACAGGCUGGAUGAGCAAGCACAUCCAAACACCCCGUCGCCGAGACAGUCGGAUUCAACGCUGUUAACAAGAGACCCCAUUGAUGCUGAGGUGUCAAGACUUUUCUUGUCAUACCAGACCUCUUCACGGUCUCUGACCCCACGUCACAGGCCAAUGCUAUUUCCAAGAAGCUGUGCUGUUUCGUACUCACCACAGCAACUUCUGGACUGCAUCAUUUGGCCAGUGGAAUCCGAUAGUGAUGAGGACACAAGUCUGGAGGAAAAGUGCCAUAUCUCUGGAUUUCUGAGAGAAUACAUUGAAAAUGCCUCCUCACGAUGUUUUCAGGAACUUCUGAAGUUCUGGCAGGGGUGGAAGGUUCUUCCAAAAGAGCUGCAUGUGGAAAUUGUGCAUGGACAAAUGCCUCAGUCAAGCACAUGCAUGGAGACUCUUCGGCUGCCUUCACGCUAUAAGUCUUAUGAUGUUUUCUGUGAGGCUCUGAACGCAGCAGUCAGUUCUGUUCAAACAGGGUUUGGACUUGUUUAAAGUCACAACUUCAAGUGUUAUGCAGCCAAUUAAUGUUACCAAAAUGCAUAAAAUGUUAAAGCAGAUAUGUUUAGUUGUUUUGACAAUUGUUCUGAUGUGAUGUAAGCUUGUGAGGCAAAUGCAUGCUUCAGGAGAAGGUUCACAACAGUUCUUGUUUUUUCUGCUGCCAGGCUCAAAUUGUUGUGUGUGACAUUUAACAUGUAACAGAAAUGUGGCGGCCAGUGAGUUGUUGCAGGAAGACAGUUUAAAGGUGAGAGUUGAGAGAGUGAAUUAAUGGAGUAGCUUAUUUUUAUGUAAAAGAUUACAAACCUGAACUAUGGUUCAGGUUUGUGCAUUUCUGAACUGUGACAACAAAAUGUUUCCACACUUGGAGAAGACUGUGUUUGGGGAACAGUUGUAAUAUAAAUGUGUGGAAGUUAAAGAAAAGAAUUAUCAGUUCUGUUAAAAAAUGUUUUUUUUAUUGGCACAUUGUUUUAAUGCUUUCAAAUUAUUCAGCAUGCAAUAAAAGCAGUUUUGUAUCCCUUUGUUAUGUCUUGCUUUUUUACAUUUUUGUUUUCACAGGCAUUUAUUUGAAAUUCACAACUUGUCAUAAAAUUAUGCACCAAAAAUUUGCAGCAUUCUUUCAAGUCUUGUUCGACCAUUUCAAACGGUUUCAUUCUGAUCAUGUUAAGGUGAGUUGUGAUAGGCCUAGGUUUGUUGAAAAAUGUUCUUAAGAAUAUUGCUCUCAGCUCUCGUAGGAGGCGGUCGCACUUUUCCUUGCUCCGCUAUCUCUGUUCCUCCCUACCCUCAUGUCUCCCUGCUUGCUGCAUUUCUUCGUCUUCGUCUCGUUUGUCUGACUUGGAGCGAUUGCUUGGCACUGGACCUUUGAAACACCGAUCAUGGAAUUGAUUAACUGGUCUCUCAACGCAAUUGACAAGAUUGUCGCCACAAAGAGCACAGGCCUAGGGGAGCCUACCUGCCCGGAUGGGAGUUUCGCCUCUGGUUACGUGAUCGACGCCUGGGGGAAGUGGAAGGGGAUCAUGUGCCUGGCACCCCUAUCCGUGGAGGACGUGGAAGAUGUUUAUAUAUUUGGAUUUAUGAUGACAGGCCUGCUGAUAAUCGGCUUGUUCACUGGCCUGAGCUUCUGGAAAAUCAGGAAGACCGCAGACAGAAAUGACGUCCAAACUCUGCUGGUCUAUGCAAACGAACGGAUCAUGGCUGCCGAUUCUCGGUAUGACGAACUCAAUCGUAAGAUGAACAAUUUGCUUGGUGUGACUGUUGAUUUGAGUCGCAGAUUGGAAGCCAUUAGGGUGAGAAUCGCUACAGCUGAGGUCUAAAAUUGUUGAUGUAUGCCCGGAAGGUGAAAUUGUUCCUCUCUCCUGACCAAACAAGAAGGAAACUGAUUACAUUCUGGCGCCCCUGGAACAAUAACAAACUCCUCUGGAAGUUUCAUGGCCAAGAGAUAGCUCUCCUAAACCCCCCCCACUUUCCCAAGGACACCUGUUGACUUUUGGACCGGGCCAACCGAGGACGUCUCCAUAGCAACCUUGCUGUGUUAUCGCGCUCCCACCCUCGCGAAUCUGAGACACCGGAGGUCUGAGACGGAAGAAGAUGGGCUACACACAUACACAAACAUUCGGACUCAUGAACUGAGGACUGAGCUAAACAUUCGCACAGACAUUCCCAUAUCCCCCUCCCCCCCGCUUCCACAAGCUUCCCUCGCUAUGCACAGGAGCCAGGAAUCCGUGCACUUGCACAGGAACCGGCUAACUGUGCGGUGCUCCCCCCUCCACCACCCCACAUCCUUAUCCCAACUAUCCUUUUCUAACGUCAUGCUUUGCCUGUUUGUGGGUUUGUUUUUUUAGGUUCCUUCUCAAAUUGAAUUUCCCAACAUUGGAGGUUUCAUUUGGUACAACGAGCCUUUUUUUUCCUUUACCCUUUGCAAUCCCUACCCAGAUCCCAACAUGUCCUUUUUCUUUUUUUCUUCAAGAAAGGUGCGCGCAGCACUGCGCAGCAGCCGGAGCUGUCAUUGGCAGGGCAGCUCAAAUGAAAUUUCGUUGUAUAUGAAAAUGUGCAAUGACCAAUAAAGAUUGAUUGAUUGAUUGAUACACUGUAUCCAUGUAUGCCCGUAGUGCAGCAGAAAAAGGGACUGCCGGAUCAGACAAUGAUGUAACUUCAGCCUGGGUAAGCUGCUGGGGUAGUUGUGCAUCAGGUACAGUGACACCCUCUGGGUAUGGGGUGUGAGGUCCUGUCCAGUCUAUUCCAUAAUCAGCAGCAACCUGAAAGGAAAGCAUAAUUUGAAAGCAAGCCCUUUUAUUAAGAAAUGCACAUUCCUCAAGGAAAAAAAAAUUAAGAAGUAAAUGAGAUUAGGAACUACAUGGUAUGGCAAAACGGCAAGUGAACCGUCUAGUACCACAGCAGAAAUAAUAAAGUUAACAUAAAUAAAUAUAAAGGAAGACAGGAAGGUAGAGGUACAAGAGGGAAUUUGUACCUCAACUGGAUCAGC